GGUAACAGAUGCUGACAGGUCAAUACUAUCUCCAGGUGGAAGUUGUGGCCCCAUCAAAGUGAAAACUGAACCCACAGAAGAUUCUGGCAUUUCCCUGGAAAUGGCAGCUGUGACAGUAAAGGAAGAAUCAGAAGAUCCUGAUUAUUAUCAGUAUAACAUUCAAGCAGGCCCUUCUGAAACUGAUGAUGUUGAUGAAAAACAGCCCCUAUCGAAGCCUUUGCAAGGUAUAAUCUUUUCACUUCCAUUCUCCCA
rnacentral:sRNA from 1 species